AACACAGCUCGGCCCUGGUCUGUCGCCUCAGGAUGGGAGUCACGGGACUGUGCUUUGAAAAAGUGCACAGCAGGGCCACAUUCGGACCAACGAGAGUGGAGACAGUGCUCUCUGUGGAGACCUACUGUCAACACUAGGGACAGGAACUCACUUGAUGGCUGCGCUGAGGAGGAAGUUGAGCUGUGGCAUCACAAGCGUGUCAGGCGACGACAAGUACCGAUCAAACUGGACCUGUUGUUCGUGCAAGAGGGUUAAGAGCAGAAGAGCUGUCCAUGCUGGGAAGGAGGGACAAAGGGCCCUGAGACAGAAGAGGAAACAUCAUCUUAUUAUUCCACUCAAGAGUGACUUCAAAUACCUGAUGGUGUGGUGGUAGAACUUGAGCAGGUUGGACAGCUUAUAAAGCAGCACAGCACCUGGUUCAGCCACGAUGACCUGCUCUAUCCGAACCUGAGGGACAGAUCAACAACACACCGAUGGCCUGCAGACUCCCUCAGUGAUGUGUCCGACCACCUCCUGCAUGUUCUCCUCCACAUCUAUUGUAAGAAGACACACACACAAAUAUAGUCAGGGCUAUUUGGGAUUAAAUACAUCAACUGUUUUGAGGGUACUGUAGAUGUAAGCAUAUUAUUAAUGAAUACAAUAUUGGAGAAAAUGUCCUGUUUUCACUGUCAAAUUCUGUAUUUUUUGAGCCCUGCCUACAGAGCUCAAACUUUUUACAAGUCAGCUCCUACAUGAUUUGUUGGGAUUGAGAUGAUAAACAAAAUUAAUUUCAGAAAACGACCUCAAAAUUAUGUAAGGAGAUAAAUGCUGAUACUCGAUAGAAGUAACUGGUGUAAUAGCUCAGCAUAACAAACUGGACAAAAGGCCAGCCCAGGUCUUGACUGAUCUGUGUUUAUUCUUUACAGCUAUGCGAACCAAAGAAGGUAAAUUAGGGAAACAAGCACAGGAUUAGUCUAUCAGGCUGAACUAAAUGUGCUGGAAUUUGAUUUGUUCACACUCUUUAACCUAAAUCUCUAAACUCAUUGUAUGACUGUGGUUACCCAAACUCUGUCCAAUAAACAAGCUACUCGUGA